rnacentral:lncRNA from 1 species
CCUCCAUUUGUUCCUUUGUUCAUACAUUACACACGACUUUAUCAAAUUUUAUAAACACUCCUUAAUAAAUUUCCAACAAUUCGGACUGAAUUCAUAACCAUAAAUGGAAACAGAUCAGCAGAUGAAGUAAGCAAACCGACAAUGGAUUGAAUAGAGAUCCUUCAUAACAAAUAUGAGAUAUUAAACAACCACUACUAGACAAAUUUUAAGAAAGGAUAUCUACCAGGAUGAAAAAUGUCGUUCGGAUCCACAUUUCCCACUUAUACUUGGAAGUCCAAAACUGUAAUAUUAACCGCAUAUUUUUAAGGUGUUCAUUAACAACUGAAAAACACACAANAGGUGUUCAUACAACUGAAAAACACACUAAUCCCACUGAAUUCGAAGAUAUGUCUACCAACGACAUCCAAUUCUGUUAACUUGGGCAUGAACUACCUAAUUUUACCUUCUGUUGUUUCAUCGGCCUUAAAAGAAAUUGCAUUCUUCCUCUCCUUUUGCUCCUUGGCAACUAAACUAAUCAUAUCGUUAUCCCAUCUAUCAAGAAAU